rnacentral:rRNA from 1 species
UACGGGGGGAGCAAGCGUUGUUCGGAUUUACUGGGCGUAAAGGGCGCGUAGGCGGCGCAACAAGUCACUUGUGAAAUCUCCGGGUUUAACCCGGAGCGGCCAAGUGAUACUGUCGUGCUAGAGUGCGGAAGGGGCUACUGGAAUUCUCGGUGUAGCGGUGAAAUGCGUAGAUAUCGAGAGGAACACCUGCGGCGAAGGCGGGUAGCUGGGCCGACACUGACGCUGAGGCGCGAAAGCUAGGGGAGCGAACGGG